rnacentral:tRNA from 1 species
GGGCCUUUAGCUCAGUUGGUUAGAGCAACCGGCUCAUAACCGGUAGGUCUAGGGUUCGAGUCCCUGAAGGCCCACCA